rnacentral:rRNA from 1 species
AGAGUUUGAUCCUGGCUCAGGAUGAACGCUGGCGGCGUGCCUAACACAUGCAAGUCGAACGGUUAAACCGCCCUCGGGCGGACAUACAGUGGCGAACGGGUGAGUAACACGUGACCAACCUGCCCCGCGCUCCGGGACAACCGCUGGAAACGGCGGCUAAUACCGGAUACUCCGCGGCCCCCGCAUGGGGGCGGCGGGAAAGCCCCGACGGCGCGGGAUGGGGUCGCGGCCCAUUAGGUAGUAGGCGGGGUAGAGGCCCACCUAGCCGACGAUGGGUAGCCGGACUGAGAGGUCGAUCGGCCACAUUGGGACUGAGAUACGGCCCAGACUCCUACGGGAGGCAGCAGUGGGGAAUUUUGCGCAAUGGGGGAAACCCUGACGCAGCAACGCCGCGUGCGGGACGAAGGCCCUCGGGUCGUAAACCGCUUUCAGCAGGGAAGACCACGACGGUACCUGCAGAAGAAGCUCCGGCUAACUACGUGCCAGCAGCCGCGGUAAUACGUAGGGGGCGAGCGUUAUCCGGAUUCAUUGGGCGUAAAGCGCGCGUAGGCGGCCACCUAAGCGGAACUUCUAACCCCGGGGCUCAACCUCGGGCCGGGUUCCGGACUGGGCGGCUCGAGUGCGGUAGAGGAGAGCGGAAUUCCCGGUGUAGCGGUGGAAUGCGCAGAUAUCGGGAAGAACACCGAUGGCGAAGGCAGCUCUCUGGGCCGUCACUGACGCUGAGGCGCGAAAGCUGGGGGAGCGAACAGGAUUAGAUACCCUGGUAGUCCCAGCCGUAAACGAUGGAUACUAGGUGUGGGGGGAUCCCCCCUCCGUGCCGCAGCCAACGCAUUAAGUAUCCCGCCUGGGGAGUACGGCCGCAAGGCUAAAACUCAAAGGAAUUGACGGGGGCCCGCACAAGCAGCGGAGCAUGUGGCUUAAUUCGAAGCAACGCGAAGAACCUUACCAGGGCUUGACAUGCGCCUGAAGCCGCGGAGACGCGGUGGCCGAGAGGAGGGCGCGCAGGUGGUGCAUGGCUGUCGUCAGCUCGUGUCGUGAGAUGUUGGGUUAAGUCCCGCAACGAGCGCAACCCCCGUCCCGUGUUGCCAGCAUUAGGUUGGGGACUCGCGGGAGACUGCCGGCGUCAAGCCGGAGGAAGGUGGGGACGACGUCAAGUCAUCAUGCCCCUUAUGCCCUGGGCUGCACACGUGCUACAAUGGCCGGUACAGAGGGUUGCCACCCCGCGAGGGGGAGCGGAUCCCAGAAAGCCGGCCCCAGUUCGGAUCGCAGGCUGCAACCCGCCUGCGUGAAGCCGGAGUUGCUAGUAAUCGCGGAUCAGCACGCCGCGGUGAAGGCGUUCCCGGGCCUUGUACACACCGCCCGUCA